GUGGGGAAUAUUGGACAAUGGGGGGAACCCUGAUCCAGCCAUGCCGCGUGUGUGAAGAAGGCCUUUUGGUUGUAAAGCACUUUAAGCGAGGAGGAGGCUACCGAGAUUAAUACUCUUGGAUAGUGGACGUUACUCGCAGAAUAAGCACCGGCUAACUCUGUGCCAGCAGCCGCGGUAAUACAGAGGGUGCAAGCGUUAAUCGGAUUUACUGGGCGUAAAGCGCGCGUAGGUGGCCAAUUAAGUCAAAUGUGAAAUCCCCGAGCUUAACUUGGGAAUUGCAUUCGAUACUGGUUGGCUAGAGUAUGGGAGAGGAUGGUAGAAUUCCAGGUGUAGCGGUGAAAUGCGUAGAGAUCUGGAGGAAUACCGAUGGCGAAGGCAGCCAUCUGGCCCAAUACUGACACUGAGGUGCGAAAGCAUGGGGAGCAAACAGGAUUAGAAACCCCUGUAGUCC
rnacentral:rRNA from 1 species